rnacentral:sRNA from 1 species
GCCAGGCGUGGUGGUGCAUGUCUGUGAUCCCAGGUACUUGGGAGGCUGAGGUGGGAGGAUCGCAUGAGUCCGGGAGGUUGAGGCUGCAGUGAGCCAUGAUCAUGCCACUGCACUCCAGCCUGGGUGACAGAGCGAGACCCUGUCUCAAAAAAAUAAUAAAAUAAAAAUACAGUAUAAUUUCUUUUUCUGAAAGAGAGAAAGAAAAGGUCCCGUUCUGUCACCCAGGCUUAAGUGCAGUGGUGCAAUUACGGCUUACUGCAGCCUUCACCUCCCAGGCCCAAGCGAUCCCCCUACCUCA